rnacentral:rRNA from 1 species
CUUUUCUUGUUAGUUUUUGAAGUAUGGCCUGCCCGCUGACUUUGGUGUUGAAGGGCCGCGGUAUUUUGACCGUGCAAAGGUAGCAUAGUCAUUAGUUCUUUAAUUGUGAUCUGGUAUGAAUGGCUUGACGAGGCAUGGGCUGUCUUAAUUUUGAAUUGUUUAUUGAAUUUGGUCUUUGAGUUAAAAUUCUUAGAUGUUUUUAUGGGACGAGAAGACCCUAUAGAGUUUAACAUUUGUUAUGGUCCCCUUUCUGUUUGUGAGGGUUCAUUGGGCCGUUUAAUAUGUUUUGUUGGGGUGAUGGGAGGGAUUAAUUUAACCCCUCCUUUUAUUAUUAUAUUUAUUUAUAUUUACUUGAUCCAUUUAUUUUGAUUGUAAGAUUAAAUUACC